UAAAGAAUCUGCCUGCAAUGCAGGCGGUGGGUUCAAUCCCUCGGUCAGAGAAGAUCCCCUGGAGGAGGAAAUGGUAACCCACUCCAGUAUUCUUGCCUGGAAAAUCCCUUGGACAGAGAAGCCUGGCAGGCUAUAGUUCAUGGGGCUGCCAAGAGUCAGACGCAACUGAGCAUGCAGGCAGGCACAUAGACAUAGGUGUGGAAACAGCUCUGGAGAAAUAACUGGCCUGAAAUACUUCAGUGAAAAUUUUUGGAUCCAGUCUCAGCAUUUCCUAUUGAGGAAACUGAGGCCCAAGGAAAAUGGAUACAGCUUCCAGAUGAAUAGUAAUAAUUUUGCAUAUAAAUAGUUAUACUUAAAAAAUGAUUCUGGGAAAAUAAGGACAAUCCAGAAACAAAUGAAUUUGCUCCAAAUAUGGAAAUUUCGGGCUCAAAUAAGAGAUAUUUGAUUCUUGCAGUGCUUAAAGUUUGAGCAUUAGUAGAGUCUGUUUGGACCAAGUUACAAGCCAAGUGUGUGAACUUGGAAUAGUUACUCAACAUCUCUGAACCUCAACUUCCUCAUCUGUUAAA